rnacentral:rRNA from 1 species
UACGUAGGUGGCAAGCGUUGUCCGGAAUUAUUGGGCGUAAAGCGCGCGCAGGCGGUCCUUUAAGUCUGAUGUGAAAGCCCCCGGCUCAACCGGGGAGGGUCAUUGGAAACUGGGGGACUUGAGUGCAGGAGAGGGAAGUGGAAUUCCACGUGUAGCGGUGAAAUGCGUAGAGAUGUGGAGGAACACCAGUGGCGAAGGCGGCUUCCUGGCCUGUAACUGACGCUGAGGCGCGAAAGCGUGGGGAGCAAACAGG